rnacentral:rRNA from 1 species
UGCCCUAGUAACGGCGAGUGAAGCGGCAACAGCUCAAAUUUGAAAUCUGGCCCCCGGGUCCGAGUUGUAAUUUGUAGAGGAUGCUUUUGGUGAGGUACCUUCCGAGUUCCCUGGAACGGGACGCCAUAGAGGGUGAGAGCCCCGUCUGGUCGGAUACCGAUCCUCUGUAAAGCUCCUUCGACGAGUCGAGUAGUUUGGGAAUGCUGCUCUAAAUGGGAGGUAUAUGUCUUCUAAAGCUAAAUAUAGGCCAGAGACCGAUAGCGCACAAGUAGAGUGAUCGAAAGAUGAAAAGCACUUUGAAAAGAGGGUUAAACAGUACGUGAAAUUGUUGAAAGGGAAGCGCUUGUGACCAGACUUGGGCCCGGUUAAUCAUCCAGCGUUCUCGCUGGUGCACUUGGCCGGCCCAGGCCAGCAUCAGUUCGGCGUGGGGGAUAAAGGCGGCGGGAAUGUGGCUCCUCCGGGAGUGUUAUAGCCCACCGUGUAAUACCCUGUGCUGGACUGAGGUUCGCGCAUUCGCAAGGAUGCUGGCGUAAUGGUCAUUAGCGACCCGUCUUGAAACACGGACCAAGGAGUCGUCCUCGUAUGCGAGUGUUCGGGUGUUAAACCCCUACGCGUAAUGAAAGUGAACGCAGGUGAGAGCUUCGGCGCAUCAUCGACCGAUCCUGAUGUUCUCGGAUGGAUUUGAGUAAGAGCAUACGGGGCCGGACCCGAAAGAAGGUGAACUAUGCCUGUAUAGGGUGAAGCCAGAGGAAACUCUGGUGGAGGCUCGCAGCGGUUCUGACGUGCAAAUCGAUCGUCAAAUAUGGGCAUG